GAUAAACGCUGGCGGCGCACAUAAGACAUGCAAGUCGAACGAACUUAAUCGAAAUGUUCACAUUUUGAAGCGGUUAGUGGCGGACUGGUGAGUAACGCGUAAGGAACCUACCUUUUAGAGGGGAAUAACAAUGAGAAAUCAUUGCUAAUACCGCAUAUGCCAUAGGUGCCACAUGACACUAGUGGGAAAGAAGCAAUUCGCUAGAAGAUGGCCUUGCGUCUGAUUAGAUAGUUGGUAAGGUAACGGCUUACCAAGUCGACGAUCAGUAGCCGGACUGAGAGGUUGAACGGCCACAUUGGGACUGAGAUACGGCCCAG
rnacentral:rRNA from 1 species